CACGUAGUUAGCCGGUGCUUCUUCUGCGGGUACCGUCAUCCGGCCAGACUAUUCGCCUGACCGAUUUCUUCCCCGCCGAAAGGGCUUUACAACCCGAAGGCCUUCUUCACCCACGCGGCAUUGCUGGAUCAGGCUUGCGCCCAUUGUCCAAGAUUCCCCACUGCUGCCUCCCGUAGGAGUCUGGGCCGUGUCUCAGUCCCAGUGUGGCGGAUCGUCCUCUCAGACCCGCUACCGAUCGUCGCCUUGGUGGGCCUUUACCCCACCAACUAGCCUAAUCGGACAUCGGCCGCUCCGAGAGCGCGAGGCCCGAAGGUCCCCCGCUUUGCUCUUCCGAGUUCAUGCGGUAUUAGCCAGCCUUUCGGCCGGUUAUCCCCCUCUCCCGGGUACGUUCCGAUGCAUUACUCACCCGUUCGCCACUCGCCGGCACCCCGAAGGGCCCGCUGCCGUUCGACUUGCAUGUGUAAGGCAUGCCGCCAGCGUUCAAUCUGAGCCAGGAUCAAACUCU
rnacentral:rRNA from 1 species